UUUGGGGAGAUGCUUAGGUUCUGUGGUCUCACAAGCAGAGUUUCUGGAAUGUUCCCUUCUCACCUUGGCAUUGACAGCAAAUGGAUACUCCAUUUUCUGUGCUACUAUGCUGCUCUUUCUUAAAUUCUUGUUUACCACUACCGUGUCUCAGGUCACACUGGCCACCCCCACCUGUCCUAACACAGACCUAGGGAGGGACAGACCUGGGACAAACAGACCUGGGUCUAUGCUCCCAGUCCAGUCAGAGAAGUUUAUGUGUUGGAGAUGAAACCUGGGAUUCUCUGUGGUCUAUGGACUGAGACGCAUCAGGUCUCUUUACUGUUUUCCAGCUGACAGUGGUUAUGAAUCACCUGCAUCUCCCAAACGACCCAGUGAAAAUGCGCAAGGACUCAUUAAUCCAUUAUUUACUCUUUUCCUGGUGGAGCUAGACCGAUGAAGCAGCUGCCUCCAUAAGAAGAAGCCUGCAGAAGUCAAUUAAGGUAAAAGCUAAAGUUAGGAACGACUGUGAACAUUUCCUUUAAACCCUAUCUCUACAGAAUUUUCCAUGUUAUUGUACAGCAGUGAUUUUUAGGUGAGUGUGGUUCUGUACCUAAACCUUGGCCCACACCCUGCAUCCCAUAUGGCACUCUCAGAGCACUUUCUUACAGAGACGGCGCUUGCACAUAGAGAGGCCUCGUGGAAUGUACUCUGAACUCUGUGCAAUCACCCUCAAGA
rnacentral:lncRNA from 1 species